GAGAUAUGGGCAGUCCUGAUUUGCUGCGCUGGUUUGAGGCACCAGUCCCUUCGGGGGCGUGGGUUCGAAUCCCACUUUUUUCA
rnacentral:tRNA from 1 species